GGUGAUUGUGGGACGACGUGUGGUGCAGUGUGGUUGGUGGUGAUUGUGGUGCAGUGAGUGAGGUUGGUAGGUGAUUGUGGUGCAGUGUGUGAUGUUGGUAGGUGAUUGUGGGGACGAGAUUGGUGGUGAUUGUGGUGCAGUGAGUGAGGUUGGUAGGUUGUCAAGUUUGAACUCAGUCCUCCUAUUUGAUUGUUAAUUAGAGUUAAUUAAAGUUAGUGCUUUAAAACCCAUAUCAGUGCGACAUUUCGCUUGUGGUUCAGUAUACAUUGGAACCCUAGAACCGGAUCUGUUCACAGUAAUAUGGUUCCUGUGGUGGAAGACACGUUCGCUUAGUUUUCUACGCCUGUUAACCUUGGCGUUAUGGACCGUUCAUAAUUUAUGGCUAUGGGGGUGAUUAUGA